rnacentral:rRNA from 1 species
CCUACGGGGGGCAGCAGUGGGGGAUAUUGCACAAUGGGGGAAGCCCUGAUGCAGCGACGCCGCGUGGGUGAAGAAGCGCCUCGGCGCGUAAAGCCCUGUCAGCAGGGAAGAAAAUGACGGUACCUGAAGAAGAAGCCCCGGCUAACUACGUGCCAGCAGCCGCGGUAAUACGUAGGGGGCAAGCGUUAUCCGGAUUUACUGGGUGUAAAGGGGGCGCAGACGGCGAUGCAAGCCAGGAGUUAAAGCCCGGGGCCCAACCCCGGGACUGCUCUUGGAACUGCGUGGCUAGAGUGCAGGAGGGGCAG